GGGUUCUAACAAUGGUGCCUCUUUGCUGUCUGGGGAAAGGAUGAGGUCUAGCGUUAAGGAGCAGAGUUAAAAAGAAUCCAGAGGUUUGCAAUAGAGAUGGAUCCAAAUACAACAACCCUCUGCAUGGGUCAUGAGUAGAGCAUGAAUGCAGGACCAGCACAACUCAGACCUCUCCUGCUUAAGCGAAAGGGUUAACUCCAUUAGCUGGUAAUAGUCGUAGACCGUUAUCUUCCAUCAGAAGAGGGUACAGCACCUCUACAAGCACCCUGGACUUCAGGGAAGGGACCUCUUGCUUAGAUGUGGAGGAAAUUUGGGGUGAGGGAAAGAGAGAGUGGAGACCCCGUGUGUUCUGGAAGGGAGGACAGGUUUGCUAGAUCCCUGUGUCUGCCUGUGAGAAGGGAACAUCCCUGUGUUGUUUAAAUGAUCUCUGCUCCCUGGUAGCUGCUGCUACUGAUUAGCCACCUGUGGCUCUUCCAAUCUGUCCCAGCUGGGCUCAGCCUCUCCCCAGAAUGUGCCCAUUUGCUUCACCACCUCAGGCUGGGAAUCCACUUUUUUCAGCCUUUUCCUCGGGGUUGACCUAGUGGCCCGGAGGGGACUUUGCCAUUUUUGCCACUUCCUAAGAGCUCUGAACAGGCCACACCAAGCAUGGACCUUGUUGCUACUAGGCAUGAGGACAUCUCAGAUACAGGCCAGCCAGCCUACGCCCUCGGAUGGGGCAAUAACAGGGGAAGUGAAAGCAGGAGAGUCUUGCUGUACUAUCAGAAAGGAGAGGCUCCCCAUGUACACGAUCAGGUGAUGAAAGCGAUGUUUGCUGAGCUCGGAGCAGGCAGAAGGAGGUGCCAUUUCCAGCCAGCUGCCAGGAGUAAAAACCUGGGGGGGUUUCUCUCUUUCUGUUGCUCCCAUGGCAGCCGUGAACUCUUGGGCCGAGGCCGGCUGGGCGGAACUGAUGGAGUUGUAAAACCAUCUGGGAUUUUAAAAGGAUCAACAAGUUUGGAAUCUUUCGAAAGGGCAGCAGCAAGAAUUACAUUACACUGGUUUGAAGCUGGAGACUGAAAUUUUCAAAGCUGCCUUAAGAUGUUUGAUUAGAAUUCUGAGCGGUAUCAUCCGUUUCCUUCAUCCUCGACGUCUACGAUGGAAGGGGAUGUGUGACGGUGAGAGGACAGCACCCGGAGAAGCUGUGGUAGAUGAGUGUGCUGGGGACAUGAGAGAGGGACUUGGUGUUGUGUUGCGAACAGGAGGAGCAUGUGGGGGAGAGAGACCGUGUGGGGUCUGGCGCACAAGAGCAGCUGGAUUUAGGCCAGCUUUGCACCGCUGGGGUUCACCAUGCAACUGUCCGGCAGCUCAGAAUGGCCAG